UGGCUCAGUUGUAGAGUGCUUGUCUUGCAUACAUGAGGCCCUGGGUUCGAUCCUCAG
rnacentral:tRNA from 1 species